AAGAAUACUGACAAUUCAAUAUAUAUGCAUAGUUAAGUAAACUAAGCAAAUCAAGGGUUUCAAGGACCAAUUUAUGACCGUAGGUAAAAUGAUCAUUGCACUACACUACACCAAAGUAACACCUAAAAUUUUCCAAUUUUGACAUUGCUACCAUUUCUUAAAUGCUAAUUUAAACAGUUAAAUUGUCGGCAACAAUUUUAUGCAUGGUUCAAUAAACAACCAUUAAUUGUUUAACACAAUAACCUAGUCAAUGUCAUCAAUUGAUUAAGUGGGAGAAUAAAUGACGUGAGCACUCAUGAAAUUAAUGUUGUUUGGCUUUAAGGCCUACAUCCUAGGGCAAAGACAGAUUAAAAAUUUCCAUCAAGAAUAAAAUUUCCAUCACGCCCGAAUCUCAUCCAUUUCAAUAGCUCGUGUUUGUACCACUCACAAAUGGCUCUCGCUUUACUGCCUAGCUUUCCCCAUGAGCUCACUUCCCAUGCUUCCAAAGCCACUAAUGGGAUGGCCAAGAUACUUGGCCACUGCAUUCUUCCAUUUUCAACACAAGUUCAAUGAACUCGCUUGGCCAUCUUCACUAAGCUUCCAAGAAGCUUCAAUGUGCAUGGGCUUAUCAUUUGGCUUUACAACAAAGCUUUUGGGCUUUAAUCAACAUGGCUUUAUGUGAAACAGCUGCCAAAG
rnacentral:misc_RNA from 1 species